UUGAUUAAUUACAAUUUUAUUCGCCAGGGGACUACGAGCGUCAGCUUAAAACCCAAAGGACUUGGCGGUGCCCUACACCUCCUAGAGGAGCCUGUUCUAUAAUCGAUAAUCCACGAUACACCUCACCGUUUCUUGCCAAAACCGCCUAUAUACCGCCGUCUCCAACUUACCCUAUGAAGGAUUCACAGUAAGUUCAAAGAUCUUCCAUCAGAACGUCAGGUCAAGGUGUAGCGAAUGAAACGGGAAGAAAUGGGCUACAUUUUCUAUUUUUAGACCACACGGAAAAUCAGUAUGAAACCUGAUUAUGAAGGAGGAUUUAGCAGUAAAAAGAAAUCAGCAAGUUCUUUUUAAGUCGGACCUAGGGCGCGUACACACCGCCCGUCACCCUCUUCAACUCAUUUCACCCUAUUUCAUAAUAAAAUAACUGGAGAUAAGAAGAGGCAAGUCGUAACAUGGUAAGUGUACCGGAAGGUGUACUUGGAAC
rnacentral:rRNA from 1 species